GCCUUAGUAACUGCGAGUGAAGCGGCAAGAGCUCAAAUUUGAAAUCUGGCACCUUCGGUGUCCGAGUUGUAAUUUGUAGAAGCAUCUUUUGGAUUGGUCCUUGCAUAUGUUCCUUGGAACAGGACAUCAUAGAGGGUGAGAAUCCCGUUCAUGGUGGGGAAUCCAAUUCUUUGUAAAGUGCUUUCGAAGAGUCGAGUUGUUUGGGAAUGCAGCUCUAAGUGGGUGGUAAAUUCCAUCUAAAGCUAAAUAUUGGCGAGAGACCGAUAGCGAACAAGUACAGUGAUGGAAAGAUGAAAAGAACUCCGAAAGGAGAGUGAAAAAGGACGUGAAAUUGUUGAAAGGGAAGUGCUUGAGAUCAGUCUUAAGGUUUAGUGAUCAGUCUUCCUUUUGGUUGGUGCACUCACUAUUUCUUAGGCCAACAUCAGUUUUCGCGGCAGGAUAAUGACAUUGGAAUGUGGCUCUUUCGGGAGUGUUAUAGCCUUUGUUGAUACUGCCUGCUUAGACUGAGGACCGCGCUUUUGCUAGGAUGUUGGCAUAAUGAUCUUAAGCA
rnacentral:rRNA from 1 species